rnacentral:tRNA from 1 species
GCGGGUGUAGCUCAGUGGUAGAGCCCUGGCCUUCCAAGCCAGU